rnacentral:misc_RNA from 1 species
CAUUUGACUAGUUUUGGCACGUUUUUGACGUUUAUUAAUUCAUUUUUGUGUUAUCUUCCGUUUGGGUGUAAUUUAACAAAUAUUCUAAAAUUAUUAAAUAUUCUGUGAUUAAUUAAUAAAUUCAAACCUAUUAGGCAUUUAAAAUGAAUUUACUCAUAAGAACGGUGUUGCUGGCGCUGCUGGUGCUAGCAGGAUUUCUGGUGUUCACCGCUGCACAGAGUAAACAAAAGACGGGUCUCUCAUUAUCAGAGAAGGUGCGCAACCUGCAAGAUAUGAAUAUGAAGAAAGCGCUGCUGCGUUUCAAUGGACAGAAAUUUCGUGAAUAUGUGCAGAAUACGCCUCGAAACUACUCUGUUGUGGUCAUGUUGACAGCGUUAGCUCCUUCGAGGCAAUGCCAAAUAUGCCGUCAUGCCCAUGAUGAAUUUACAAUUGUAGCCAAUUCUUAUCGCUACUCACCGACUUACUCAAAUAAAUUAUUCUUUGCGAUGGUUGACUUUGAUGAGGGCUCCGAUGUAUUCCAAACGCUGCGUAUUAAUACAGCGCCUGUUUUUAUGCAUUUCCCUGCCAAGGGUAAACCCAAAGGUCCUGAUACCAUGGAUAUCCAUCGUGUAGGAUUUGCCGCUGAAGUGAUUUCGAAAUUUGUUCAUGAACGCACCGAUAUACAAAUACGUAUUUUCCGACCACCGAACUACUCUGGUACCGUAGCAAUGCUAACGUUAGCUGCUCUAGUCGGCGGCUUCCUCUACAUACGUCGCAACAACUUAGAGUUCCUAUAUAACAAACAAAUUUGGGGCGCUUUGGCGUUAUUCUUUUGCUUCGCCAUGAUUUCAGGGCAAAUGUGGAAUCACAUACGUGGUCCACCAUUGGUUCAUAAGAGCAAAAACGGGGGUGUUGCAUAUAUACACGGGUCAUCUCAAGGACAACUAGUGGUGGAAACUUACAUCAUUAUGUUCUUAAAUGCUAUGAUUGUCCUGGGAAUGGUUCUGCUUAUAGAAUCUGGUUCACAAAACGAUAAUAAAAGAGCGCGCAUAAUGGCCAUAGCUGGUCUAUUGCUGGUUGUUGUGUUCUUUUCCUUCCUGUUAUCGGUGUUUCGAUCAAAGGCGCAAGGUUAUCCUUACAGUUUCCUUUUCAAAUAAACGAUUCGAUGAGCUUCAGCCAUUUUUUAUCUGAAAUCGUUGCAUUCGAAAUCAUUCUUAGUCGAUUUUUUCUGUGAACAUUAAAAAAAAUGCAGAAGGAUUUUAUUGGACAAGCGUUAAUGGUUGUACAUCACGACAUGAACUCGUCUUUGAACCGACGACUAUACCAAAGGAAUGUAAUAUAACUAUCUUUAAAAAUUUUAAUUAAAAUAUGUAUGUAAGUAUCAAAAAUAUUCUAAGUUCAAUAAUGAUUACAAAAUGAAGGGUAUAAGCGCCUUUCGUGUUUUCGGAUAAUUUUUAAAAUUUUCCUUGUACCAUUUGUGCGUGAGCAAUGCAUUCAUCAACUGUAAAGUAAAAAUACAAAAUAAUACAACUUGUUAGGAAAAAUGUACGACGUUUACCUGAUUGGAAAAUACCCAUAUGAAUAUUAAGAGCCAUGUAGUACUAUUUAGCAUCAAUCCCAACACCGCCACAUACAUGACGAUU